CGGGAAGUAUCAACAGGGAUUGCCCCAGUAACGGCGAGUGAAGCGGCAACAGCUCAAAUUUGAAAUCUGGCCCCCAGGGCCCGAGUUGUAAUUUGCAGAGGAUGCUUUGGGCGAGGUGCCUUCCGAGUUCCCUGGAACGGGACGCCAUAGAGGGUGAGAGCCCCGUCUGGUCGGACACCGAGCCUGUGUAAAGCUCCUUCGACGAGUCGAGUAGUUUGGGAAUGCUGCUCAAAAUGGGAGGUAUAUGUCUUCUAAAGCUAAAUAUUGGCCAGAGACCGAUAGCGCACAAGUAGAGUGAUCGAAAGAUGAAAAGCACUUUGAAAAGAGGGUUAAAAAGUACGUGAAAUUGUUGAAAGGGAAGCGCCUAUGACCAGACUUGGGCCCGGUGAAUCAUCCAGCGUUCUCGCUGGUGCACUUUGCCGGGCACAGGCCAGCAUCAGUUUGGCGCGGGGGACAAAGGCUUCGGGAAUGUAGCUCCCUCGGGAGUGUUAUAGCCCGCUGCGCAAUACCCUGCGCCGGACUGAGGUACGCGCAUCGCAAGGAUGCUGGCGUAAUGGUCAUCAGCGACCCGUCUUGAAACACGGACCAAGGAGUCGUCUUCGUAUGCGAGUGUUCGGGUGUCAAACCCCUACGCGUAAUGAAAGUGAACGCAGGUGAGAGCUUCGGCGCAUCAUCGACCGAUCCUGAUGUUCUCGGAUGGAUUUGAGUAAGAGCAUACGGGGCCGGACCCGAAAGAAGGUGAACUAUGCCUGUAUAGGGUGAAGCCAGAGGAAACUCUGGUGGAGGCUCGCAGCGGUUCUGACGUGCGAAUCGAUCGUCAAUAUGGGCAUGGGGGCGAAAGACUAAUCGAACCUUCUAGUAGCUGGUCUGCGU
rnacentral:rRNA from 1 species